rnacentral:rRNA from 1 species
UACGGAGGGUGCAAGCGUUAUCCGGAUUCACUGGGUUUAAAGGGCGCGUAGGCGGCAACUCAAGUCAGCUGUGAAAUCUCCGGGCUUAACUCGGAACGGUCAGCUGAUACUGUUUUGCUAGAGUGCGGAAGGGGCAAUCGGAAUUCUCGGUGUAGCGGUGAAAUGCGUAGAUAUCGAGAGGAACACCAGAGGUGAAGACGGGUUGCUGGGCCGACACUGACGCUGACAGCGCGAAAGCCAGGGGAGCAAACGGG